UGGCGGCAUGCCUAACACAUGCAAGUCGAACGAACCCUUCGGGGUUAGUGGCGCACGGGUGCGUAACGCGUGGGAACCUGCCUUUAGGUUCGGAAUAACAGUUAGAAAUGACUGCUAAUACCGGAUAAUGUCUUCGGACCAAAGAUUUAUUGCCUUUAGAUGGGCCCGCGUUGGAUUAGAUAGUUGGUGGGGUAAUGGCCUACCAAGUCGACGAUCCAUAGCUGGUCUGAGAGGAUGAUCAGCCACACUGGGACUGAGACACGGCCCAGACUCC
rnacentral:rRNA from 1 species